UACGGGGGGGGCAAGCGUUGUUCGGAAUUACUGGGCGUAAAGGGCUCGUAGGCGGCCAACUAAGUCAGACGUGAAAUCCCUCGGCUUAACCGGGGAACUGCGUCUGAUACUGGAUGGCUUGAGGUUGGGAGAGGGAUGCGGAAUUCCCGGUGUAGCGGUGAAAUGUGUAGAGAUCGGGAGGAACACCGGUGGCGAAGGCGGGUCUCUGGGCAUUUCCUGACGCUGAGGCGCGAAAGCGUGGGGAGCAAACGGG
rnacentral:rRNA from 1 species